AGUCUCAGAUGGAAGGACACCUUUCAGUGGCCCUGAGCUCUGGGGUCCCCACCACCACCAAGACAUCUUCAGACGGGGGAAGCCGGUCUUGGCAACGGGCUGCAAGCUUUCUACAAGAAACUCACGUUCCUCUGUGGCUGAUUUCCACUCUGCUCCCCUGAAAACCUGCAAACAAGAGCCUGCACAUCAUCCUCAAGGACAGCUUUUGCCGAGAACGUGGCCUGAAGAGCAUCCAGCGAGGACCUGGGAUGUGCGCACGGUUGGCCCUGCCCCGUUGUCCUUUGCUUUCCGGGGCCGCCUGAGGCGGCCCAGCGCUGCCACCCGUGGGGGCUUAUCCCUGCACCCCAGCACCCCAGCACCAGCAGGGCUGGGAGGGGGCUGGGAGGCCCCCGCCUCAUUUUAAAGAAAAUAUGGGAAAGCAGGUGCCACUGCUGAAAAAAAAAUGGAGACACUUGCCCUCCCUUCGGUACCUCAAAGUUCUAACUGAAUUCCUCUUCCUCUCUACACCCCCGCCAGAAAAGUCCCGCCUGCUGUUAUUUGCCCCAAGGCCCAUGUUUGUCCAACAGGCAAACUGCAUUUGGGAAGUAAUGUAAGCUUUCACAUUUGAGGUUAAUCAAGUGCAACAAGGAUGCCUGUUCAAAUCCCAUCAUCCUCCCCCACCCCCGCCACCCCGGAGAGUCUGAAUGAGGGCAGUGGGUCGAUAGAAUCCCACCCAAAGUGAAGAAACGGGACAGUGUGUGUGUAACUCGCAGUGGCCUGGUCAUCAGUAAAGCCAUGGUGACCAUGGGAAAUUGCAAGAAGCUGUAAACAGCACGGAGCCCCCCCGCAGAUGGCUUUUGAGGGCCCCCCAGGGAACCCAGUUUGGGAACCGUGGGGCUAAGCCAACUAGGAUGGAGGCGCAACUCUUUGACAAUCCCACAGCCACUCCCACUUCCCCAUGGAGGGAGUCCUCACGCAGCAGGGUGCUCUGGAAAGCUAUUGAGACAUCGUGACUCUGCUGGUUUUUGCCCGUGUGACCUGGGGUAGAUGGCUUUCCCUCUCUGAGUUUCUGGGUCUCACUGCCUCCCUCCUGGGUUGUGAGUGCUCCGUAAGGCCUGGGUGUCUUUACUGUUGCCAUAACCUCUUGUUCAGGUCUCCUGACUUCCCACCCCUCAUGCCCUGACCGUGUCACUGGAUAUCUGUGACGAAAGCAGGUGCAGAGGGCUAGACGGCACCUGGAGCCCUUCUGAGAAGCCAUCUGUGAUGGGAUAGGGAGCCUGGAAGGGGAGGGAGGAGCCCAGGAGCGGGCAGGCUGGGGGCACCUGGAGAUAGUAGUUCUGGGGUGCAUCUGAGCUCUCCUCAACUUUAAUAUGCCCCAGAUCACCUGGGGAUCUUGUCCGAAUGCAGAUCCGGACGCAGCAGGCCUGGGCAGGGGCUCCCAGGUGAGGCAGCUGCUGGGGCUUCACUCUAACCCAAGGAGGAGGCCAGGCCACCGGUAUCUGGGAGAGAUGGCUCCAGAAAGGCCUGAGAGCCCCAGGACGUCCAUGCCUGGAUAGACGAUGCAACAUGAGGGUAAAAUUAUGUUUUCAACAAAAGAAAAGCCCUCUGCCUCCUAACAUGUAGAAAGAUCUCUCUUCCCACCCCCACGCAGCCCCAGGGGCCCGAAAGAAUGUGGUUUUCUCAGCACAGCUUCCCUCACUGAAGGGGGUGGAUUCGCUCUUAAAAAGUUGCCUGUAAAAUGAAUUUUUCUAUAUCAAAUGCUGUUUUCCCGCGGUUCGUGUUUUAAGACCAGGGUAGCGUUCCCACUGAGAAACCUCCAACUCGGGCCUUGGCAUUGAGGAUUCGACCCUUGCCCACUCUAGGGGUGGGGAGAGCACAGCCGGGCGCAUGUGCCGGGGGGCUACGGAACCCAGGAGAGCUGGAGCUGCAGAAUUUGGGAACCAAAAUCUAAGCCCUAAACAGUCCCCUAAUGGUCUGAUGUCCGUGGCCAGACACUGGCCUGGCACCCCUGACCAGUACCACCGAGUGUUAGACUGGUGAGACUGGCGGGAACUAGGGCAAACCAGCCCCUCAACUGGGAAGGGGGCCCUGACAGGCUGUCUGUCAUGGCGGGCCAGCCGCCAUGUCUUUGUGUAGAAUAUCAUAGGCCACACUCUGAAUGUCAGGCUGGGGGUGUUUUUGUUUUUACCCUGGGCAUAAUCCUUUAAUGUACUCAAGGAACUUGCUGUCAUGACAAUUUGGCUGUGUUUCCCAAAGAGCGCUCUGAAGCUCUGAGGCCAGAGUUCCACAAAGACUCCUGAGAAAUGCAGGGCUAGGAGAAGGCUAGGUCUCCUUGCCCAGAGGGGUCUGCUGGGAUAUGCCAAGGAGCACUGGGAAUCUCAAAUAAGAGACUCAAGUCAUGGUCUGCCCGCAAUGCACAGACUGUGCUUUUCCGGAGCCUAGUCUGGGAUCAGUACUCCAUAAAGCACACUGCGGGAAGCAAGUCCUCAUAACUAAAAAGUCUCCCCGUUCCUGUAUUAGUUACCUACAGCUGCAUAACAAAUCACCCCAAACUUAGGGGCCGAAGACCAUAAGCAUUUAUUCUCAAAGUUUCUAUGGGUAAGGCAUUGAGAAGUGGGUUAGCCGGAUGAUUCUGGCUCGUGGUCACUUUUGAGGUAGCUGCCAACGUGUUGGUGGGGGCUGUGUCAUCUGACAGCUUGACCGGGUCUGGACAAUGGGCUCCUCAGAUGGUGCACUCACAGGGCUGGCAAGGUGGAGAGCUCAGUUCCUUGCCACAGUUCCUUCCCUGUAGGGUUGCUUGAGUGCCCUUACAACAUGGUGGCUUCCCCCAGGGUGAGUGACCCCAGAGAGCAAAACUGAAGCCAUGGCGCCUUUUAUGACCGAACCUUGGGUCAUUUCUGCGGCAUCCUGUUGGUCACACAGGGCAGCCCUGUUCGCUGUGGGAAGGGCCUAUGGAGGUGUGAACAGUAGGAGGUAGGAAUCUUCUGGUGACCAUCUCGAAGGUUGACUGCCCAGUCGCCAUCACUUCAGUACAAGAAGGCCAGGAAGCAUGUCUCCUUUGCACAGUCGGGGUCUUACCAUUGAGUGCCAGUUAGUAACUCUGACAGGUGAACCUGCUAACCUGUGAUCUAGGGAGGGGAAGAGCACAUCAACCAACCAACACAACAACAGCAUCCGUAUUCAUCCAGCCCCCUUUCUUGAGCGCUCUCCGUGUGCUGGGCGUGUCACGGGCAUCAUGGCACUGUGCAAUCCUUGUCCCCAAGCGGUAGGUGCCACCACUAUCUCCAGGUUAGGCCACUCCUUUCUAUGAUGUGCCUAAAAUGAGAUGAUUUUGUGAUGAGGGCUAUAGUAACACAAGCAGGUCUACCUUCUGGAAGUUCAGAGACCCCGGUGAACCCAUGUGGAGAAGAGUGGAGAGUAAACUUAGGAUGGAUAAACGGAUAAUAAAGAGGUGAGAUAAAAUCUUGAUUUCAUGUACAUGAACAAGGCGUGGGGUCAGGGCGAGCCAGGGGAAUCUUGGGAGUACCAGAGCCUCACUGCUGUGAGAAGUGGUCCCAUCUCUAGACUGGGAGGCAGGGAGGCCGAGAGGUGAGGAGCAUGGACCUUAGGUGCCUGAGAUGCCUGCAUCCCAGGCCUGCUCAUUUGCUAUUAGCUGUGCGACCCCAGGCAAGUGACUUCACGGUCCUCAGUUUCCCCUCUGCAAAAUGGGGUGAUGCUGGUGAAGCCCUCACGUUGUAUUGAUUCCGAGAGAUGAUCCCUGGCCCAGCAUGAGGGCUCUGGAUUGCUUUAGCCUGACAAAGCUGGUGGCACUCCAGGUUCAAAGAACGCUUAUAGAAGCAUCACUGCCUGGAAGGUGCUUGCUCUGUGACCAGGAGUGGACUUGGAGCCCCAAAACAGACAUCAGCUGUUGUUUGGGUUACCCCUGGGCUGGAAGGAGCUCAGCCUCUCCUUCUGUUUGGGGCAUGUGCAGGCGUGGAGCCUGCCCAGCCCCUUCCUGUCCUGUUGGGGCAUGAUUUCAACAGAGGGAGCAUCCUGGGUGUGUUUCCCCCCCCCCCCCCAGAAAUCUCAAGCCGCUGAGCAGGACCUGGGGAGCUCUGGCUACAUGUGUUGUCCCAGCAAAUAGACCAGGCAUGGACUCUCAGGAAACGAAACGCGGGCACUGGUUCCUGACCCCUCAGCCUAGGCCUGGGCUGACGGAGGGGUUUGGAGUGGCAGGUGCCAAUGGCAGGUCUUUGGGUCAGACUGACCUGGGAGCACUUUGGCUCCAUCCCUUGGGGCUGUGUGACUCCGGGCAAGUGCCUCAGCCUCUCUGGGCCUCAGUUUCUCCAUCCCCAAAAUGUGGGGAUGGACUCCCCUGCUGGCCCGCGGUCCAUUCUGAAGAGCCUGGGGCUGGCCAGGAGGACACAGAGCCUACGUGGGUGUGCACGGGGUAAGUCCAAGGACCCCCCCUUCCUCUCCAAUCAGGGCAACUCCAUUUUCAUCUCCUUGGUAUGUCAGUGUUCUAAGUAAUACUUCAUUAAAAAGAAGAAGAAGGAAAAAGAAGAAAAGAAAACACGUCCACAGUGAAAACAGUACGGUCAAGAAGUUUCCUACCAGCUUACUCUGUCCUCUGGCUCAUUCCUUCAAGCUCUAUGGGAGCAGAGGAGUAGACUCCUCCAUGAGCUGGGUUUAGUGACUGCCCAUUUCCAAACGGUUCUCGGUUUCCUGGGUUUGGGGGUCUCCUCUGUGGUGCCAAGGUCACGGGCAGGCUGGUCUCCUCCCCGGACACAUGUUGUGGGCAUGCCUGCCCCUCCGCCCCUGUGCCCGGGGCAUACCCACCACGGCCGGCCCAGGUCCGCCACACCUGCCUCUCACGGAAGCUGCCCCUGGGUCUGUUCCUUCACCUGGGAAGUGAGGAGGCUGUGGACCUGAUGAUCUCUCAGCUCUUCUUAACUUCAACGCUCUAAUUGCUGCAUUUAUUGAGGUCCAGCUGUCUGCAGAGCGGUGUCUGGGGCGUGGAAGGGGCCAACUACCACCCUGGUAGGAGGAGCCAACAUGCGCCUGUGGCCUCUGGCCGGCCUGGGGACAGCACGGCUCAGAGUGGCCACCCAGGCCCCAGGAGAAUCCAGUGCCAGGCCCGGCUGCCAGGCUGCCAUUUGAAAUGUCUCCUGUUGGUGGCACUUUGGCGUGGUUCAGGUGUUCUGGUCUUAGAGUGUAUUUGGUUUGUACUUGAAAACAUGUUAGCUCCCUCUCUCUGUGAAGAUUCUGUUUUUCACUCGAAGGAAUCAUAGGGCCUGGAGCUGGAUGAUUCCCCAGGUAGAACCCAUCCGUGGCUCCUUACUGCCCUCCGAAGACCAUCUAAGCCUGGGAGUGGCCCUAAGGCCUUCCGGAACCUGGCGAAGGCCAAGCCCUCCCAUCUGAGGGCUCUCCACCCCUUUACCCUCUCUCCUUCAGGCACACAGACUAGAACAUGCCCACCUCUCCCUCCCUCUUCUCUCUAGAGCCUCAUGCGGGCUGCAUCCUCUGCCUAGAACACUCCCUCUCCUCUUCUCAUGGCUCCCAAAAUGUCACUUCCCCCAGGAAGCCCUCCCUGCCUCAUUGAGCCACUUUAGUUCAUGCACAGGCUCACCCUGUACUUCUCCUUUGUAGCACUCAUCAUUGUAAUGAUGUAAAAAAAAACUCCUCUUUAUUUGACGGCCCUCCUUCCCUUCCCCGCCAUACCAGAAUGUGGGCUCCGUGAGGACCUCCCUGUCUGAUUACCCAGGUCCAGUGCCCAAGGAGAGCUCUGGAAAUGUCUGCUGAGUGAAUCCAUGACUGGAGACAGCCUGUUGAUUAAGGCUACAGCUCCACACAGCACGGAAGUCACUGUGCGACUCAGAUGGGACACUGUCUCCACCGAAGGCAAAGACCACUCCCCACCCCCCAGCCCUGGCCUGGCUCUUCAACUCAAGCCCUAGAGGCUCAGAAAGGAAGGUGGCUUUCACUGGCCUGGGCGCACCCCCCACCCCCGUCACCGCCCUGGCAUUGCCCACUGCUUAGCCUGUCCUGGGGACACUGGUCACCUCCAUUCCUCACCUCCGGGAGUGUGGAGUGAACGGGUGGAGGGCAAACUUGAGCUGGUUCUCGAAAGCCCGCUUUCCUUCCUUAUUCCCAACCUUUUCAAGGAAGGACCUUCACGGGUACCGCCCAGGCACAAAAACGGAUUUCUUUCUCCACAAGCACACGCCUUCUUUGGGAGACGCAGCAUUCCCUGGCACCCCAGAAUGAGCCCCGGCACCCCAGAAUGAGCUCCAUCCACUGACAGUAUUUACAAUGGACCGUCUGGGGAGGUGGCCUCUAUAGUCGUUCAGAGCAGAUUUGUAUCCCAGCUCCCACCUCCUUCCAACUUUGUGGCCGUGGCACGUCUUACUGAGCCUCAGUUUCCUUCUCUGUAAAGUGGAAUUAAGGGAAUUAAGGGAGAGGGUGGGUGAAAUGGGCAGCAGCAGGCUGUUUCCGCUAAGGCUCUGGGCCACUUGCCUUGCCCGGUCCCGCAGACAUUCAAUCCGUUUGGGGCUUGCUCAGGGUGUCCCCCCACCCCCCAUCCAGGCCCUGGGCUUUGCCUAAGCUGCCAGAGGAUGAUGGGCUCGGGAGCCCUCCGAGGCGCUGCCUUGGCCACAUCUGGUGGAAACAGCAGCGGAAGUACUGGGACCCCACAUGUCUGGAGGGUGGGGUAGGUGAUCUGUGUGAGCUACACAUUCCUAUGGGAAUCAAACACCCUGUUUACAGGUAAGGAGGCUCCAGAGAGGAGUGACUGGCCAGGCCAUGCAGACAUAGAGAGGGAUUUUAACCUGGAAAACCACACCAGUAACACCAAGGACCCUCCUACACUCUGUUCUGCCAUCACUUAUGGAUUCCUUACUUCAUGCCAGGCAAUGGCUGACCUACUUUAAUCCAACAACAUACCUAAGAGGGAGAUAGAUUGAGCCUCAUUUUCCCCCCCAGGAAACAGAGAGGUUGAUGUACUCACCCAGGGUCACACAGCUUGGAAGGAGCGGAGCCUGACUUUGAAUUCAGGCCACCUGCCUCCAGAGCCUGUGCUCUUGGCCAAUCUUCACACCUGGCUUGGGAACCUGGCCCUGCAUAGAGGGCUGGGCCACUUGGCUGAGUCCCUUAAGCCCCAGAGUCACAAAGUGAGGGAAGAAUCUUCAGCACCCACUGGGGGUGGGGAGGCGCUGUGCUAAAGGAUCACUGCCACGGGGUGAGGGUGAGGGGAGCUCGGAGGGGCCAAGCCUCUUGCUCUAGGGCACACAGCCAGCUGAGCCAGGCCCCACGCCCAGGCUGAUGGGGGCUCCGCGUCCCUCCCCGCUCCCUGUCCGCGGUCCAGCGAGGCCCCGGCCGGCAAGGACCCCCACAGCCGGCUGGGCUCCAGUGGAAAGAUGGACAGAUGACGGCCGCCCCCUCCCAGGGCCUGCGGGCUGCGUGGCUUCGCCACCUCCUCCCGAGCAGGUUUCCUUUAAGAAACCAGAAGAUUGAUUUCCUGGCAGGCUCUGCGCCGAGGAGCCCGUCCAAAUGGUUUGCAUGUCUGCAUUUUUUACUGCUCCGUUUAAUAUGUAUGCAAAUGCCGGCCGGCUGCGCCCGCCCGGCCGCACAGUCACACGCGGCGCCCCAUUAAAGCGGCCGUCCGGGCGCGCGCCUCCUUCCAGGCGACGGGCUCGGGCCCUGAUAGAUGGGGUGCGGGGACGGAGACAAAUGACGGGCUUUGUAAUUUCUUUUUCACUCUUUCGGGGGGGGGGGGGGGGGGAGCGGCUCAGACUGGAAACAGCAGAGAUUUAAAUAUAUGCAAAAUUGUUUGGGGGUUGGUGGGGGGAGAAACCUGAACGCGGGAGAAAAUUCAGCGUUUCCUCCGUGGGAGUCGGGCUGGAGGCUGGAGGGGGAGCCGGAGCCCCCACAGUCACCUUCUGGCGGAGAGAGCGGCUUUGCUGCUGAUAAGCAGGCACAGUCCUACGGGGAAGCGCUGCUUCAGCCGCAGUGAAAAGGAAAAUGCUGGUUUUUUUCAGCCCGGUUUUCCCCGGGGUUGGGGGGGGGGCACCGGCGCGAGGUAUUCCCAUCCCACCCCCACUCUCUUUUCUGGGGCUUCCAAAGCCUAGCACUUUACAGGUAUGAUGUCCUUUAAUUCUCGCACUAGCCCCAUGGGGUAGGUCGCACCCAUUGUACAGAUGGGGAAACUGAGGCUCUGUGGAGAGAAGCCCUUUGGGAAGGAUUGCAGAGUGAAUGCAGUGGGGGGGGGGAUUGGGACUCUCAGACCCCUGUGUCCUUGACCCCCACGGCCCUCAGCCAUCUCUUGCUUCAUGGCGUUUGCCCCCCAACCAUGGAGUCUGCCGCCG